GACGUAGGGGGCGAGCGUUGUCCGGAUUUACUGGGCGUAAAGGGCUCGUAGGCGGCCAACUAAGUCAGACGUGAAAUCCCUCGGCUUAACCGGGGAACUGCAUCUGAUACUGGAUGGCUUGAGUUCGGUAGGGGAGACUGGAAUUCCUGGUGUAGCGGUGAAAUGCGCAGAUAUCAGGAAGAACACCAACGGCGAAGGCAGCUCGCUGGGACGGAACUGACGCUGAGGCGCGAAAGCGUGGGGAGCGAACAGG
rnacentral:rRNA from 1 species